UUGCAAUAAAAAGGAAAAAUUAUUUAACCAACAACUCGACAUGGUCUGCUCUGGAAAUCUCCAGUGUUUACGUUGCGAAAACAAUUGAAAUCAUAACAAUAAAAUCAAAUUUGAAAUUUGUGAGAGGUAAGAGGUA
rfam:Drosophila ananassae strain TSC#14024-0371.13 Ctg01_19561, whole genome shotgun sequence.